UAGUCAAUGCUCACAAGAGUGAACUAGCUAACUGAAAUCAUACUUGUGUCAAGUGUGAUAAGGUAAGGGAAGAUAAUGACAUAACCUUACUAUUAGUGUUGUCCAAAACUGGUGCCAGAAGACUCGGUAAGGCCAGAGACGCGAACGUUAGUCGUCCUAAUCAGGCGUAAAGGGUGUGUAGGCUGCUUUAAAAUUUUAUUCUUUAUUAUUUAAUUUCUUUUGCUUUUUUAAAAAAAUAAAAAAGUCUAAACUUAUAUAAUAUAGACUGAUUAAUUUGUAUAAUAUAACUAAAAUUGCUUUAGUUAAAAAAAGAAAUAAUUUAUGAGAAAAUAAUUAGUUAUUAAGAAUUAAUUAAAGUAAAGAUAUAAUGAAUAUAAGCUAGAAUCAAAUUGAGGAUAUUUAAAUAAUACUUAGAGGAGGGGUGAUAUCCUAAGAUACUAAGUAGAAUAUUAAAGGUGAAAACUUUUAUCUACUAAUGAUUGACGCUGAGAAACGAAGGUGAGGAUAGGAAAUAGGAUUAGAUACCCAGAUACCCCUCUCUGUCAACGAUGAAUGGUGGUUACUAGUUAAAAAAUAUAAUUGGUGGCUAUGUUAACACGAUAACCAUUCCGCCAUGUGAGUACGACUGCAAAGUUGAAAACAAAAAAAUUAGUCGGUCUCGAAGCAAACGAAGUGAAGCAUGUUAUUUAAU
rnacentral:rRNA from 1 species